rnacentral:rRNA from 1 species
AGAGUUUGAUCAUGGCUCAGGACGAACGCUAGCUACAGGCUUAACACAUGCAGGUCGAGGGGAAACGACAUCGAAAGCUUGCUUUUGAUGGGCGUCGACCGGCGCACGGGUGAGUAACGCGUAUCCAACCUGCCCAUCACUUGGGGAUAACCUUGCGAAAGUAAGACUAAUACCCAAUGACGUCUCUAGAAGACAUCUGAAAGAGAUUAAAGAUUUAUCGGUGAUGGAUGGGGAUGCGUCUGAUUAGCUUGUUGGCGGGGUAACGGCCACCAAGGCGACGAUCAGUAGGGGUUCUGAGAGGAAGGUCCCCCACAUUGGAACUGAGACACGGUCCAACUCCUACGGGAGGCA